CCUGGUAGCAAUAGCGAGGUGGUACCACUCCUUCCCAUUCCGAACAGGACCGUGAAACGCUUCAGCGCCGAUGAUAGUGCGAGGUAUACCGUGCGAAAGUAGGACACUGCCAGGC
rnacentral:rRNA from 3 species